ACUCCCUUUGAGGGCCAUUUUCUCUCAGACCACCACAGGCAGUAAGUGCUUUAUCAACUGAGCCCUCACCUCAUCCCUUAAUUGCUUCUAAAUCAUUUUUAAAGAAGGCACAAGAGAAUCAGGCAGAUUUCCUGAGUCUUCAAAGCCCUUGGCAACCUUCCAAAUGUACUUUAAAGCAUCCUCACCUUCUGAAAAUGUAUGAUGUCAUCUGCUUCAUCAAUGGCCUGACUAGAUCAAGAUCAGGAUGUCCCUAUGUGCUGGGAGUGGAGGGCAGAGGCCUCUUCUAAAGAGGACCACUGGCAGACCGGUUGGGAGUUGGGAAGGCAAGAGUAGGUGAAAAGAAGGAAAUUAUGAAGAACUCACUGAUCAAGAAUUCAGCAGCAGAGACUGAAGACCAUGGGGGAUGGACAUAAUGGUCUAGAGCUCAGAGUGAGCGUGGCGGUGUGAAGGAGAAUGGCCCCAAUCAAGACGUGAACUCUCCCCGCUUCUUGCCAAGGUGUCUUCACUCCCCCAUCAUGGACCUUAACACUGAAGCCAUCAGACAAAUUAAACGCCUGCUUUUUGA